UACGUAGGGUGCAAGCGUUAAUCGGAAUUACUGGGCGUAAAGCGUGCGCAGGCGGUUUUGUAAGCCAGAUGUGAAAUCCCCGGGCUUAACCUGGGAAUGGCAUUUGGGACUGCAAGGCUUGAGUGCGGCAGAGGAGACGUGGAAUUCCUGGUGUAGCAGUGAAAUGCGUAGAUAUCAGGAAGAACACCCGUGGCGAAGGCGGC
rnacentral:rRNA from 1 species